rfam:Stegodyphus mimosarum contig38255, whole genome shotgun sequence.
GCCUUCGGGGUGUAGUGGUGAGCACGUUCGAUGCGUAACUGAGAGGUCCGUGGUUCGAUUCCCGGCGAAGGCG